rnacentral:rRNA from 1 species
GAUGAACGCUGGCGGCGUGCCUAACACAUGCAAGUCGAACGGAGUUUGUAGAACGGAAGUCUUCGGAUGGAAGAUUUAUAAACUUAGUGGCGGACGGGUGAGUAACGCGUGGGUAACCUGCCUCGUACAGGGGGAUAGCAGCUGGAAACGGCUGGUAAUACCGCAUAAGACCACGUUGCCGCAUGGCAGUGGGGUAAAAGAUUUAUCGGUGUGAGAUGGAUCCGCGUCUGAUUAGCCAGUUGGCGGGGUAACGGCCCACCAAAGCGACGAUCAGUAGCCGGCCUGAGAGGGUGAACGGCCACAUUGGGACUGAGACACGGCCCAAACUCCUACGGGAGGCAGCAGUGGGGAAUAUUGCACAAUGGGCGCAAGCCUGAUGCAGCAACGCCGCGUGAGUGAAGAAGUAUUUCGGUAUGUAAAGCUCUAUCGGCAGGGAAGAAAGGCCCGAAAGGGAGAUGACGGUACCUGACUAAGAAGCCCCGGCUAACUACGUGCCAGCCGCCGCCGUAAGAC